rnacentral:rRNA from 1 species
GGGAGGAAGGCAGUGUCGUUAAUAGCGGCAUUGUUUGACGUUACCUACAGAAGAAGCACCGGCUAACUCCGUGCCAGCAGCCGCGGUAAUACGGAGGGUGCGAGCGUUAAUCGGAAUUACUGGGCGUAAAGCGCAUGCAGGCGGUCUGUUAAGCAAGAUGUGAAAGCCCGGGGCUCAACCUCGGAACAGCAUUUUGAACUGGCAGACUAGAGUCUUGUAGAGGGGGGUAGAAUUUCAGGUGUAGCGGUGAAAUGCGUAGAGAUCUGAAGGAAUACCGGUGGCGAAGGCGGCCCCCUGGACAAAGACUGACGCUCAGAUGCGAAAGCGUGGGGAGCAAACAGGAUUAGAUACCCUGGUAGUCCACGCCGUAAACGAUGUCUACUUGGAGGUUGUGGCCUUGAGCCGUGGCUUUCGGAGCUAACGCGUUAAGUAGACCGCCUGGGGAGUACGGUCGCAAGAUUAAAACUCAAAUGAAUUGACGGGGGCCCGCACAAGCGGUGGAGCAUGUGGUUUAAUUCGAUGCAACGCGAAGAACCUUACCUACUCUUGACAUCCAGAGAACUU